GCCCUGAUGUGGGGGAUAACCUUUGGAAACGAUGGCUAAUACCGCAUGAUGCCUACGGGCCAAAAAGGGGGACCUUCGGGCCUCUCGCGUCAGGAUCUGCCUAGGUGGGAUUAGCUAGUUGGAGAGGUAAGGGCUCACCAAGGCGACUAUCCCUAGCUGGUCUGAGAGGAUGAUCACCCACACUGGAACUGAGACACGGUCCAGACUCCUACGGGAGGCAGCAGUGGGGAAUAUUGCACAAUGGGCGCGAUCCUGAUGCACCCAUGCCGCGUGUAUGAAGAAGGCCUUCUGGUUGUAAAGUACUUUCAGUCUCGAGGAAGGCGGCGUCGUUAAUAUCGGCGUUGUUUGACGUUAGCGGCAUUAGAAGCACCGGCUCACUCCGUGCCAGCAGCCGCGGUAAUACGGAGGGUGCGAGCGUUAAUCGGAAUUACUGGGCGUAAAGCGCAUGCGCGUGGUUUGUUAAGUCGGAUGUGAAAGCCCGGGGCUCAACCUCGGAAUAGCAUUUGAAACUGUUAGACUAGAGUACUGUAGAGGGCGGGUAGAAUUUCACGUGUAGCGGUGAUAUGCGUAGAGAUCUGAAGGAAUACCGGUGGUCAUCGCGGCCCUCCUGGACAGAUACUGACACUCGGAUGCGAAAGCGUGGGGAGCAAACCGGAUUAGAUACCCUGGUAGUCAACUCCGUGUACGAAUGUCUACUUGGAUGUUAUGUCCUU
rnacentral:rRNA from 1 species